CCUACGGGGGGCAGCAGUGGGGGAUAUUGCACAAUGGGGGAAACCCUGAUGCAGCGACGCCGCGUGAGUGAAGAAGUAUUUCGGUAUGUAAAGCUCUAUCAGCAGGGAAGAAGAUGACAGUACCUGAGUAAGAAGCCCCGGCUAACUACGUGCCAGCAGCCGCGGUAAUACGUAGGGGGCAAGCGUUAUCCGGAUUUACUGGGUGUAAAGGGAGCGUAGACGGUUAUGUAAGUCUGAAGUGAAAGCCCGGGGCCCAACCCCGGGACUGCUUUGGAAACUGUGUAACUAGAGUACAGGAGGGGCAGGCGGAAUUCCUGGUGUAGCGGUGAAAUGCGUAGAUAUCAGGAGGAACACCGGCGGCGAAGGCGGCCUGCUGGACUGAAACUGACGUUGAGGCUCGAAAGCGUGGGGAGCAAACAGGAUUAGAUACCCCAGUAG
rnacentral:rRNA from 1 species